rnacentral:rRNA from 1 species
AACGCUGGCGGCAGGCCUAACACAUGCAAGUCGAGCGCCCCGCAAGGGGAGCGGCAGACGGGAGAGUAACACGUGGGAACGUACCCUUCGGUUCGGAACAACCCAGGGAAACUUGGGCUAAUACCGGAUACGUCCGAAAGGAGAAAGAUUCAUCGCCGAAGGAUCGGCCCGCGUCUGAUUAGCUUGUUGGUGAGGUAACGGCUCACCAAGGCGACGAUCAGUAGCUGGUCUGAGAGGAUGAUCAGCCUCACUGGGACUGAGACACGGCCCAGACUCCUACGGGAGGCAGCAGUGGGGAAUAUUGGACAAUGGGCGCAAGCCUGAUCCAGCCAUGCCGCGUGGGUGAUGAAGGCCCUANGGUUGUAAAGCCCUUUCGGCGGGGAAGAUAAUGACGGUACCCGCAGAAGAAGCCCCGGCUAACUUCGUGCCAGCAGCCGCGGUAAUACGAAGGGGGCUAGCGUUGCUCGGAAUCACUGGGCGUAAAGCGCACG